rnacentral:lncRNA from 1 species
UCCGCAAGCUGCAAUCUGAGCUAAAUCAAGAUUACAAAUUGGACUACACAAUAAAAUCGCGAUUGCUAUCAACGAAAAGUUCGAUCAAAGAACACAAUUUGAUCACAGCGAAAGGACAGAAAACCGGGAAGGUGAUACAUCUCCGCGGUGUCGGCGUUCUGGAAGAUGGAUUCAAAGUAAGAGAACUGGAGAGCGGAGUCCGCGCCCUCCCUUCUCUGAGUUUCUCCAUUGUCGAUCUGCCUCCUUUCUGCGAACCUAGGGUUUGAGAGAGGAAGGAAUGGGCGGCCACUGAGGAGGCGGAGAAGGGAUGUCCACCGUCCGUCGGCCUAUUGAUUCGUGGAGAGCUUCCAUGGCCGCCGGCGAGAAGAGGGAUCGCCGGAG